rnacentral:tRNA from 1 species
GGGAUAUAGCGCAGCGGAAGCGCGUUUGUUUUGGGAACAAAAGGCCACAGGUUCAAAUCCUGUUAUCCC